GUCCAAUCCUAGCUAGUAGAUAUAGGGGGAAUUUGAACCAUCCUGUCCGAAGGCGUAAACUAAUCCCCUUUCCCUCUUUCAUGGCUUCUUUGCCUUCAGUUGCUCUUAGUGGCACUCUCAAGCUAGAGCCUGAACUCAAAAAACUUCCCGCUUCUUCUGUUGCUACAGAAAAGUUUCUCCCCCCCAUUUUUAGACUCGGGACUGGUUUUAUUUGAUGAUAUACGACAUGAUAGAGUCCGAGCAUUUCAUAUGAGAGAAGUCCAAUAAACAUCCAAUUGGAUGGAAGUUUAGCACCCAUUAGGCCUUUGGAUUUCCAAGAAGCUCUUUCUUUGAUAAAAGAGGAAAGAAAGAUUGAGCCCUCUUAUUACGUUCCCGUGUUACAAAGAUGCAUAGACAAGAAUUCAGUCUCAGAAACGCAGAUUAUUCAUGCCCACAUGAUAAAGACAGGAACCUCUGAAGAGCUUUUCUUGAUGACCUUUCUUGUAAAUGUCUAUGCAAAAUGUGGAGCCAUGGGAAGUGCCCUAAAAGUUUUUGACAACUUGCCUAGAAGAAAUGUUGUUGCUUGGACGAGCCUUAUGACGGGUUAUGUUCAAAAUUCACAACCAGAUGUAGCCAUUGAAGUUUAUCAAGAUAUGUUGGAAUCUGGGGUUUUUCCCUCGAAUUUCACUCUAGGUAUUGCUUUAAAUGCUUGUUCAUCCUUGAAUUCUAUCAAAUUGGGGAGACAGUUGCAUGCCUAUAUUAUUAAGUACGAGAUUGACUAUGACCCAAGCAUCGGAAAUGCUCUUUGUAGCUUAUACUCGAAAUUUGGCAGCUUGGAUUCUGCUGUUAAUGUUUUUCAGGGUAUUGGAGAAAAGAAUGUAAUUUCCUGGACUGCUCUUAUUUCUGCUUGUGGUGAAAAUGGUGAAGCAGCAUUGGGUUUAAGAUUUUUCAUUGCGAUGCUUUUUGAGGAUAUUGAGCCUAAUGAGUUCACAUUAACUUCUGUUUUGAGCUUGUGCUGUGUGAUGCUGGCUUUGGGUGCAGGGAGACAGGUUCACUCAUUGAGCAUUAAACUUGGCUAUCAAUCAAACCUACGCAUAAAAAAUUCUGUCAUGUAUUUGUACCUCAAAUGCGGAUGUAUGAAUGAGGCACAGAAUUUGUUCAAUAAGAUGAAAUCUACUAAUUUGGUUACAUGGAAUGCAAUGAUUGCUGGCCAUGCUCAAGCAAUGGAUCUCGCAAAUGAUGAUUUUUCUGCAUACCAUAGUGGAACUGAGGCACUCAGCAUUUUUUUGAAAUUGAAUCGCACAGGCUUGAAACCUGAUCAUUUCACCUUGUCAAGUAUUUUGACUGUAUGUAGUAGGUUGUCAGCCUUAGAACAGGGAGAACAACUUCAUGCUCAGACCAUUAAAUCUGGGUUUUUGUCAGAUGUUGUUGCGGGAACUGCACUUGUUAAUAUGUACAGUAAGUGUGGAAGCAUUCACAGAGCCAGUAAAGCCUUUGUGGAGAUGUCUACAAGAACUAUGAUAUCGUGGACUACAAUGAUCACUAGUUUUGCACAGCAUGGUCAGCAUCAGCAAGCGCUGCAACUUUUUGAGGAUAUGAGGCUAGCAGGAUUUAAACCAAACCAGAUUACUUUUGUGGGUGUUCUUGCCGCUUGUGGCCAUGCUGGAAUGGUUGAUGAAGCGCUUGGAUACUUCGAGAUGAUGCAAAAGGAGUACAGAAUUAAGCCUGUGAUGGACCAUUAUGGAUGCCUGAUUGCUAUGUUUGUGAGAUUGGGUCGGCUAGAAGAAGCUUUUGACAUCAUCAAGAAAAUGGAUUUCAACCCCGGCGAGUUUAUGUGGUCGCUGUUGAUUGCUGGUUGCAGAUUUCAUGGGAAGCAAGAACUAGGAUUUUAUGCUGCUGAGCAGUUACUCAAACUCAAGCCAAAAGAUACGGAGACUUAUGUCAUGUUGUUGAAUAUGUACAUCUCUGCAGAGAGAUGGCAAGAUGUUUCCAAGGUGAGAAAAUUGAUGAAAGAGGAGAAACUAGGAAAAUUGAAGGACUGGAGCUGGAUUAGCAUAAAGGACAAGGUUCAUUCGUUUAAAACCAAUGGUCGGUUGCAUCCUCACAAUGCAGAGAUGUACAAUUUGUUGGAGGAAUUGCUAGAAAAAGCAAAAGGUCUUGGAUACCAACCGCUGCAACGGAUGGAGGUUAUUCAUGAUGACGAGGAAGAAGAGGAAAACAAUCCAAUCUCAUCUGCCGAAUACCACAGUGAGAGAUUGGCCAUUGCAUUUGGGGUUUUGAAUACUCAAAAGGAUGCACCAAUACGGGUUAUCAAGAGUGUCAUCAUGUGCAAGAAUUGUCAUGAUUUUAUUAAAGUAAUCUCAAAGCUGUGUAGUAGGGAAAUCAUCAUUCGAGAUAGCAGGCGGCUUCAUAGAUUUGUCGAUGGGCAUUGUUCAUGUGCAGAAUUUGGUGUUCUUCUUUGAUAUCUUGGUAUGGUUGUGUUGGAUUAAUCAUGAUUAUCAUUUUCUUCAAGUAUUUGACAAAAGUUGCGAAAAUCCAUUUCUGUUAACUGUUAGUAUGUUCAAUAGGAGAAGUCCAUUUGAACCAUAUAGGCUUUCUUUUUCUUUUUCUUCUUCUCCUUCUUUGAUGGCUCUUUCUGAGGUUCAUAAAGAUAGAGGAGAGUUGAGGAUUCAUGAA
rnacentral:misc_RNA from 1 species